CCUACGGGGUGCACCAGUGGGGAAUAUUGGACAAUGGGGGGAACCCUGAUCCAGCCAUGCCGCGUGUGUGAAGAAGGCCUUAUGGUUGUAAAGCACUUUAAGCGAGGAGGAGGCUACUUUAGUUAAUACCUAGAGAUGGUGGACGUUACUCGCAGAAUAAGCACCGGCUAACUCUGUGCCAGCGGCCGCGGUAAUACAGAGGGUGCGAGCGUUAAUCGGAUUUACUGGGCGUAAAGCGUGCGUAGGCGGCUUAUUAAGUCGGAUGUGAAAUCCCCGAGCUUAACUUGGGAAUUGCAUUCGAUGCCGGUGAGCUAGAGUAUGGGAGAGGAUGGUAGAAUUCCAGGUGUAGCGGUGAAAUGCGUAGAGAUCUGGAGGAAUACCGAUGGCGAAGGCAGCCAUCUGGCCUAAUACUGACGCUGAGGUACGAAAGCAUGGGGAGCAAACAGGAUUAGAUACCCGAGUAGUC
rnacentral:rRNA from 1 species